AGGGAUUGAAACUUCAACCAAUCAAAAGGGACGUUCCCCUAAGCCAAAAUGAGUUAUAGCUGCAAACUAAGGGAAUGAAACUUCAACCAAUCAUAUAGGGAGUUUAAGCUCUACCUGCAGCCUGAUGUUUUUAACCAGUUAGGUCCACCAACCCACAAGGGAAUAGAAAAUAAGCUAGUCCUAUAGAACAGAGAAAGGAAAAGGAGAGGAAUCAUGAGGGGAUAUAAGCAUAAGACAUCCAAGCCAGAAACGCAACCCUUCCGGGUCCCCUUCCUCAUCGGCGAAGCUUUACUUUCGCUUUCGCUUUCCCUUUAAUAAAUCUUGCCGCCCCACACUCUUUGGGUCCGCACCUUUCUCUAAUCAAGCAGUAACACUUCAUUCCUUGAAGCCGGUGAGACCACGAACUCUUCGAUCGAGAAAAACCUUCCAUCAGAGGAAGACUUCUCGUUUCACCAUUUUCAUGGGCGUCCUUGUGAAGAGACCACCAAACAGGCUUUGGAUAUGGGGGUCUCACUUUGUUGCCUAGGCUGGAGUGUAAUGGUGAUUCUGACAAAUGAUCAUAGCACGCUACAACCUCUACAUCCUGGGCUCAAGAGCUUCUCCUGCCUCAGCGUCCCAAGUAACUGGGACUACAGAUUUCAGUUUAGGUUUAUCCGUGGAAAGAUGGAGGAAUGAGAGCUAGAGAACAAGAGAGCAAGUGAGAGUAAUGGAAAGUCCAAAGGAAAAAGAUGGACAAGACGAAUGAAGGGAAACAAGAAGGAAAAGAGAGAGGCAGAGGGAGAGGGAGACUUAUUUGAGGAUUUAUUUUUUAAUCAGUAGUUGAUGUUGAUUUUUUCAAAUAAUUCUUAAGUCUUUAGCUUUUUGUGUUAUUAAAAUUUUAAAAUAUAGAAAAAUUUAAUCUAUUACUAUGGUCUCAAUCGAUUUUCUAAUAAUUGUCUUUCGUACAUUUGCAUGUCCCAUGAUUUUUUACAAGUCAAAUCCCAUGACAUCUGUCUGAGGUGGGGCAAAGUAAAAGUAUUACGAAGGUUGCUAUUAUAAACUGUUCUGUAGAUGAUAACAUCUUUGCUGAGCUAUAAAAGCACACUCAUGGGGUAAGAGGAGACAGAAGACAGUGUGAUUUAAACAGCUAAUUACUGGAAAUAGUGAGAUAUCAUAUCAGAUAAAUAAGGUGAUCAUAAAUGGAUGUCGAUCCCAGAGUGUGAUGCAAUUAUGCUCUUUCCUGCCAUCACCUCAGCACAAGAGAAUAAAACUCUUAGUUUUAUCUCUUAGACAUGAUUUGUACUAAUAGCUGAUAGGAGAAACCCCCAAAUUAGUUUUCUCUUGAAUAUAUUUGGAUUUCUGCUGAUCUUUAAGCUCUGAGGACUCCUUAAAAUCUGGAAAAGAAGUGACACACCUUUAUAAGUAGUGAACAUUCUACCAAAUGAUAUUUAUGUAAGUGAUCUAUUGCUGCAUAAUAUAGUAGAACAAACUCAGCAGCUAAAAACCAGCACACAUGAUUCUCUCAUAGCUUCUCUGCAUCAGAAAUCCAGUUAUGGCUUAACUGUAUCCUCUGCUUCAGGGUCUAUCACAAGGCUAUCAUGAGGAGAUAGAACAGUACUGGGUUUUUAUGCGAAAUUAGACUUGAGAGACUCUUACCCCUUCCAAACUAACAUGGUUGUUGGCAGGAUUUAAUUCCUGGCAGCUGGUAGGAUUGAGAGACUUGGUUUCCUGCCAGCUGUUGGCUGAAGGCCUGAGUUCUUUGUCAUUUGGACCCCUCGAAUAUAGCCCCUAGCUUCAUCAAAGUGUGCAAGCAAAGGGAGUGGCCACAGCAGAGACGGAGUUAAUUAGUAAGAUAGAAGGUAAAAUUGUAUAUCAUGUUAUCAUGGAAGUAACGUUCUAUCAAUCACUGUGCCACAUUCUGUUGGCUAAAAGCAAAUUACAACUUCCUGUUUCAGCUCCAGCAUGUAAAGAGCUUUGAAGUGAUGGCUUGGUUCUUACACAAAGAUACAAGAAAAAUAAACCAAAAUUUGACAACUAUUUUUGUAUCUGUCAGAGAAAUGAAAUUCAGAGAGGUGAAAAUGUGAUGAGACGGCAGAAAGAUUUCACUAAGUAUAAAUUUCCACAUAGUGUUAAAACUUUGAACCCAGUAAAUAUUAGUACAAUAAAAAUAAAAUAAUUAUAGAGCCUGAAAUAAAUAUAUGCUAAAAUUAAAUAAUAGAAAAUCAAACCAUAGACUAAUAUCGAAUUGGUGACUUUUCUCCAUGAAGAAAUAACGUUAACAACUUUGGAAUACAGUAUACUGAAACUGACUGGGUGCCUUGCAGAGAUAUAGUCUCAAGAACAAGGGAAUCUUGUAAUUUAAAUAGAUACUUUUAAUUCUGUUUGUUUCCAAAACCACAAGCUGGACUCUCCUCUUUUAAGAGGGUCUUUAUUAAGUCAUUUGGGUUCUGACACUGUGUUCUGGACCAUGUUUCUGGUGUAAGUCUUCCACGUCUUGCUUAUAUGCUGACAUCUCAGGUCAGACUUCCCCUGCAGGGAAUCACCGUCUUCACUCUGCUUGAGUUGCAACACCUUGUGCAGGUUUACCUUCUUGCAGAUAUGACCAUUUUUCCUCUGUGGUGCAUGAGCCACUCUACAUUUUCUCCUUAAGUUCACAUGGACUAGCAAUGAACAGAACCUUAAGAACUUUCCUAAAUAUACAUUAUCAGAAUUGUGAAGAGCCCAGGCCUAAACAAUUAGCCAUCUUAGAAGAUCAAUUACCAUAAAAAAUGAUAAAAAGCCUAAAUAUUAUAAUAUUAUAAUUAUUAUAAAAUCAUAAAGGACAGGAAACAAACAUGCUUGUGUAAUGUUAACUUUGAUUCCCCAAACUUUUAAAAUUUACUUUAAUUCUUUUUUAGUGAAUAACAAAAAGAUGUAUUCAGACUGGUAGUAAAUGUGUAUGCAGCUGUGCACUUGCUCUCUUUCUCUCUCCCUAUAUGUAUGCAUAUAUAUUAUUCAAAUGACCAACACUAAGCAUAAAAUCAUUGUAAAGUAACAUUUGCUAAAUGAGAGUGCAUCAAAUUAAAAAUAAGCAUGUUUAUUAAGAGAUGUUUUAUAUCCAAUCCUAAAAAAAUUGGGAUUCAUUUGGUUCUUCUGUAAGUUUUGUUAAAAAAAAUAUGUA
rnacentral:lncRNA from 10 species